UACAGAGGUCUCAAGCGUUGUUCGGAUUCAUUGGGCGUAAAGGGUGCGUAGGCGGCGCCGGUAAGUCGGGUGUGAAAUCUCGGAGCUUAACUCCGAAACUGCAUUCGAUACUGCCGUGCUUGAGGACUGGAGAGGAGACUGGAAUUUACGGUGUAGCGGUGAAAUGCGUAGAUAUCGUAAGGAAGACCAGUGGCGAAGGCGGGUCGUCUGGGACGGGUACUGACGCUGGAGACGCGAAAGCGUGGGGAGCGAACAGG
rnacentral:rRNA from 1 species